rnacentral:rRNA from 1 species
CGAUUUAGUCAUAUGCUUGUCUCAAAGAUUAAGCCAUGCAUGUCUAAGUAUAAGCAAUUAUACAGCGAAACUGCGAAUGGCUCAUUAAAUCAGUUAUCGUUUAUUUGAUAUUACCUUACUACAUGGAUAACCGUGGUAAUUCUAGAGCUAAUACAUGCAAAAAAUCCCGACUUCGGAAGGGAUGUAUUUAUUAGAUUAAAAACCAAUGCCCUUCGGGGCUCACUGGUGAUUCAUAAUAACUUCUCGAAUCGCACGGCCUUGCGCCGGCGAUGGUUCAUUCAAAUUUCUGCCCUAUCAACUUUCGACGGCUGGGUCUUGGCCAGCCAUGGUGACAACGGGUAACGGGGAGUUAGGGCUCGACUCCGGAGAAGGAGCCUGAGAAACGGCUACUACAUCCAAGGAAGGCAGCAGGCGCGCAAAUUACCCAAUCCCGACACGGGGAGGUAGUGACAAUAAAUACUGAUACAGGGCUCUUUUGGGUCUUGUAAUUGGAAUGAGUACAAUUUAAAUCCCUUAACGAGGAACAAUUGGAGGGCAAGUCUGGA